AUAUAUAGCCCGAGUCUGCAUUCUUGUGUCUGAGAGGCACUACUGGAUACACACAGUCAAGGACCACGGGUCACCAGCAAACCCACCAGAGGAAGAUUCUGUGCUUGGAAAACAACCAUGAGUGCAAGAAAUCUUUUCAGAGUCACCUCAGCUGGUGCGAAGCAUCUGGCCACCUCCCCAGAUGCCAGACAAUUCAUUGGGAAUGUCACUGAUUUUCUUGUGGACCAACUGGGCCCAGAGUAUGCCAGCCUCCUGGUGACUGAAGACCAAAUCUGGGAGGUGUUUGUGGCUGAGGCUGGACUGUCCAGGGAUGAAGCUGGGGCCCUGAAGAAAGCGCUGAAGAAUGGCACCGCAGACACGGUCCAGCAAGGCCAGCUGCAGAGGAAGAUCUU